AGAGUUUGAUCAUGGCUCAGAUUGAACGCUGGCGGCAGGCCUAACACAUGCAAGUCGAACGGUAACAGGAAGCAGCUUGCUGCUUCGCUGACGAGUGGCGGACGGGUGAGUAAUGUCUGGGAAGCUGCCUGAUGGAGGGGGAUAACUACUGGAAACGGUAGCUAAUACCGCAUAAUGUCGCAAGACCAAAGAGGGGGACCUUCGGGCCUCUUGCCAUCGGAUGUGCCCAGAUGGGAUUAGCUUGUUGGUGGGGUAACGGCUCACCAAGGCGACGAUCCCUAGCUGGUCUGAGAGGAUGACCAGCCACACUGGAACUGAGACACGGUCCAGACUCCUACGGGAGGCAGCAGUGGGGAAUAUUGCACAAUGGGCGCAAGCCUGAUGCAGCCAUGCCGCGUGUAUGAAGAAGGCCUUCGGGUUGUAAAGUACUUUCAGCGGGGAGGAAGGGAGUAAAGUUAAUACCUUUGCUCAUUGACGUUACCCGCAGAAGAAGCACCGGCUAACUCCGUGCCAGCAGCCGCGGUAAUACGGAGGGUGCAAGCGUUAAUCGGAAUUACUGGGCGUAAAGCGCACGCAGGCGGUUUGUUAAGUCAGAUGUGAAAUCCCCGGGCUCAACCUGGGAACUGCAUCUGAUACUGGCAAGCUUGAGUCUCGUAGAGGGGGGUAGAAUUCCAGGUGUAGCGGUGAAAUGCGUAGAGAUCUGGAGGAAUACCGGUGGCGAAGGCGGCCCCCUGGACGAAGACUGACGCUCAGGUGCGAAAGCGUGGGGAGCAAACAGGAUUAGAUACCCUGGUAGUCCACGCCGUAAACGAUGUCGACUUGGAGGUUGUGCCCUUGAGGCGUGGCUUCCGGAGCUAACGCGUUAAGUCGACCGCCUGGGGAGUACGGCCGCAAGGUUAAAACUCAAAUGAAUUGACGGGGGCCCGCACAAGCGGUGGAGCAUGUGGUUUAACUCGAUGCAACGCGAAGAACCUUACCUGGUCUUGACAUCCACGGAAGUUUUCAGAGAUGAGAAUGUGCCUUCGGGAACCGUGAGACAGGUGCUGCAUGGCUGUCGUCAGCUCGUGUUGUGAAAUGUUGGGUUAAGUCCCGCAACGAGCGCAACCCUUAUCCUUUGUUGCCAGCGGUCCGGCCGGGAACUCAAAGGAGACUGCCAGUGAUAAACUGGAGGAAGGUGGGGAUGACGUCAAGUCAUCAUGGCCCUUACGACCAGGGCUACACACGUGCUACAAUGGCGCAUACAAAGAGAAGCGACCUCGCGAGAGCAAGCGGACCUCAUAAAGUGCGUCGUAGUCCGGAUUGGAGUCUGCAACUCGACUCCAUGAAGUCGGAAUCGCUAGUAAUCGUGGAUCAGAAUGCCACGGUGAAUACGUUCCCGGGCCUUGUACACACCGCCCGUCACACCAUGGGAGUGGGUUGCAAAAGAAGUAGGUAGCUUAACCUUCGGGAGGGCGCUUACCACUUUGUGAUUCAUGACUGGGGUGAAGUCGUAACAAGGUAACCGUAGGGGAACCUGCGGUUG
rnacentral:rRNA from 1 species